rnacentral:rRNA from 1 species
CCUACGGGGGGCUGCAGUCGAGAAUAUUCCCCAAUGGACGAAAGUCUGAGGGAGCGACGCCGCGUGAUCGAAGAAGCCCUUCGGGGUGUAAAGAUCUUUUCUCAAGGACGAACUAAUGACGGUACUUGAGGAAUAAGGGGCUGCUAACUCUGUGCCAGCAGCAGCGGUAAUACAGAGACCCCAAGCGUUAUCCGGAUUUAUUGGGCGUAAAGCGUCUGUAGGCGUUCUGAUUAGUUUUUCGUCAAAUCCCGAUGCUCAACAUCGGAACUGCGGAAAAUACUGUCAGAAUUGAGGUUGGGAGAGGUAGAUGGAAUUGCCGGUGUAGCGGUAAAAUGCGUUAAUAUCGGCAAGAACACCAAAUGCGAAGGCUUUCUACUAGAACACACCUGACGCUGAGAGACGAAAGCGUGGGGAGCGAAUGGGAUUAGAUACCCCUGUAGUC